rnacentral:rRNA from 1 species
AGCAGCCGCGGUAAUUCCAGCUCCAAUAGCGUAUAUUAAAGUUGUUGCAGUUAAAAAGCCCGUAGUUGAAUUUCGGGAUCGACGGGUCGGUCGCGCCUCUGGUGUGUACUGGCCCUGUCGGUUUCUCCCUUCUGACGAACCACGAUGUCAUUAAUUUGGUGUCGUGGGAAAUCAGGACUGUUACUUUGAAAAAAUUAGAGUGUUUAAAGCAGGCAUUCGCUUGAAUACAUUAGCAUGGAAUAAUGAAAUAGGACGUUUGAUCUUAUUUUGUUGGUUUCUAAGAUCGACGUAAUGAUUAAUAGGGAUAGUUGGGGGCAUUAGUAUUCAAUUGUCAGAGGUGAAAUUCUUGGAUUUAUUGAAGACUAACUACUGCGAAAGCAAUUUGCCAAGGAUGUUUUCAUUAAUCAAGAGCGAAAGUUAGGGGAUCGAAGACGAUCAGAUACCGUCGUAGUCUUAACCAUAAACUAUGCCGACUAGGGAUCGGAUGAUGUUAAUUUUUAAUGACUCAUUCGGCGCCUUA